CAUCCCCAUCAUCCGCAUCAUCAUCAUCCCCAUCCCCAUCCCCAUCCCAAAGGAUCACUGGCAGCCCCAGCAGCAAUUAAUGUAUUUACUCUGCUGAGCAUCAUAGCUUAGCCUAGCUUACCUUAAACAUGCUCAGAUCGCUCACAUUAGCUUACAGUUGGGUAAGAUCGUCUAAUGCAAAGCCUUUUUAUAGUGAAGUAUCGAAUAGCUCUUGCAGUUUUUUGAACGUUGUACUGAAAAGCAGAGCGGUAGAUAGAGAAGGGUCAUGGGUGUGCUGGUUGUUUACCCUCCAGAUCACGUGGCUGCCCAGGAGCUGUGGCUGCUGCUUCUGCCCAGCAUCAGGAGAGCGUAUCUUAUCAUAGAUCAGCAUCCUGGGAAAAGGUCAGAAUUCAAGAUCUGAAGUGUGGUUUCUACCGGAUGCAUGUCUCUUGUAUCCUUGUAAAGACAAAAAAUUGUAAGUCAGACCUUAACAGGUCGGGGACUGUCUGUAUACACACUCGGGAAAUUGAGUUCGUCUGCACUCCUCUUCCAGGUUGAUGGACUACCCUGUCAUUUAUUUAUUUAUUUAUUUAUUUAUUAUUUAUUAUUUUUUAUUUUUUAUUUAUUUAUUGUUAGAGCACAGAGGGACCAGCCUCCUUUUCCAGGUUGAUGGCCUACCCUGUCUUUUAUUGAUUGAUUGAUUGAUUGAUUGUUAGAGCACAGAGGGACCAGCCUGCUUACCCCUUUACUCAGUUUUAUAGUCGAUUUGAUUGUUUGGGAUCCUCUCCUUUAAGAGGGUGGGAUGUAGUUGCCUUAAUUUAUUUAUUAAUUAAUUGUUAUUAUUUUUUAGUUUUUUCAAGGAUACACCUUUAGGCCCUUUGUGUUUUGAAGAAUUUUACUAGCAAUCGUUCGUAUGAAUCUGAUGAAUAAUAAGUAACAAAUAUGGGGAAAAUAUAAAGAAUCUAGAGUCUCAUAAAUUAUAAUAGUAGGACCAAGUUCAUAAUUUGUUUUUAACAUUUUGUUUAUUCAUGAGAGACACAGAGAGGCAGAGAGAGAGGCAGGCUCCUCACAAGGAGCCUGAUGUGGGACUCGAUCCGGUACUCCGGGAUCACACCUUGAGCCAAAGGCAGGUGAUCAACCGCUGAGCCACCCAGGCAAAUUGCUGAACACCUCUAAACUUCGGUUUCCUUACAAAUAAAAGAGAAAUGAUCCCAGUGUGCGUAGUUUAUAAAGCUACUGGACGGAUGAAGUGAUACAGUGCAUCAGCGGGCCUGGCACGUACUCGGCUACUGUUGAGGACUGCUGGAGAAAAUCAUGCUCCUUGGUGUUCUUCAUGUGUUUAAAAUACGUCCUUUCCUGUAUGUUCUUGUGAGAAACGUCACCCUGACAGCAGAAAAGAGUUUGGAUUUGAGGCGGCCAAGAUGGGAGGUAUGAAGCCUACUCAACUUUUCAUAAGAAGUGAAGUGAGCUAAAGCAGCAGAAGAUGAAAGAAAAGGAAAGGAUUUUAUUUAUUUGAGAGAGAGAGAAAGAGAGACAGACUCACUGCUGAACAGGGAGCCAGACACGGGGCUCCAUUCCAGGACCUGGGGCACGACUGGAGCAGAAGGCAGACACUUAACCGACCGAGCCCCCCACGUGCCCCUGUUUUCAUCUUUCAAAUCUCAGUGUAUUAGUCAGGAUUCCUCAGAGCAACAGAUAAGAGGUAUCCACGUCUUUAAAUUACGUAUAUCAUGAAGAGAUGUAUUAUAAGGAAUUGCCUCAGGUGAGCACGGAGGCCGGGAGGUCUCAGGAUCUGCAACUGGAGACCCCAGGAGAGCAGAUUUAGUCCCAGUCUGAGUCCAAAGGCUUCAGUGAGGAGUGUUUUCUUCUUAUGGGUUUUGGGUAACCAUGGGGCAGGAAAUAUAUAAGUACGCCAAGGUUAAGUAAUAUUUGUCAACAGUUCCUGGAAAACAUUUUUCCAGUCUGUAUGUUUGCUGUUAUUUAUACUUAACAUAAGUAUAGCAAUACCAGGUAUGUAUUAGUUCCCACACAGUAUGGUUAAUUUCUAGGUGAUCAUAAUGAGAAGAUAUUUUUAAAAAUGCAAUAACAGAUGGGUAGGCAGAAUAUGGAAUCAAGUUUGUCACAGUGUAUUUCUCUAAUCCUCCAAUUCUAUUUCUUUCUAUUUUCUCUUACCCACCAUGAAGGGUACUUGCCAACCUUUGACAUAUUUAGUUUAUAUGACCUAAAGUUGCUCAGGGGAGAAAUUUAUUUCGAGUGCCUGACUGUGGAGGUCAGAGUCCGCUGACGUCAGACGUGUCCUAUGAACUGUCCUAGAGCUUCAAGCCUUCAAAGAAUCUGUGUCUUUACUUAAACAUAUUAACCAGCAUGGAUAAUCAUCAAACAGCAGGAGAAAGAGUCCACUUUUUAAAUGUAAAAUGACAAAUUAAUUAGGUGACAUAAGAAAAAGAAAAGAAAGAGAAAACAACCUCCAGAAUCAGGAAGCAGUACUAGCAGUUUUCUUUAUGAUUCUGGAAGUCUUAAUCUGCAGUACGGCUGUCAAUAUAUUUUUAUCUGUUAAUUUGUUGAAGAUAAUUUUAUCGUUCAAAGUGAAGGAAAACAAAGAAAGAGCUUAGAGACGUGGACAGAAAUCUGAAAAAAAAAAAAAAAAGAUCAGAGUAAAAGUUCCAGAGAAUGAUCAGUAAUUGAAAUAUUUAACACUUUAC